GUCUCCGAGCGGCGGGCCGAGGGAGGGCGCAGCAGCUGCUCCCUGAACACUUUCUGACCCAACAGUCCCCCAGCGCCGGACGCGCCGCGCCCUGGCGGCUCUAGGGACCCCCCCCGCGCCUGCACUUAGCCCCGCGCCCGAGUCCACAGACAAACGAAUUUAAAGGAGCAACCGAGGAGGCACCUGCGAAAGAAAGCCCACACACAGGUGAAUUUAAAGGAGCAGCCCUGGUGUCACCUAUCAGUAAAAGAAUGUUAGAACGACUUUCCAAGUUUGAAGUUGGAGAUGCUGAAAAUGUUGCUUCAUAUGAUUGUAUAACCAUUCACCAGCUUGUGUCAAUGCUGGAGAGGAAGUACGGCCAUAGAGGAAGUUAACUCACCAUGGUUGUAAGCUGUUGGUGUCUAAACAAAGAUUGGAAACAAAGAGGGCAAAUACAAGUAGUUCUUCAAAUUACCCUGAAUUUGCCACUGAAUUAAACUGUGUGUCUGCAGAUUAGCUAUACGUUUUCUGUAAUGGAGCUGCCCAGGGCUGAAACAAAAUUAGAUUAAGCAAGGCAAGCAUUUCCUUCUUUCCUGACUCCAAACAAAAUAAAGCAGGUUUUCAUUUUAUUUUAUUUUUAAAUUACAAAGUCUCAUUACGUAGAUAUAGGAGGAAUUUGCAAUAGUCCCUGUGAGAAAUGCUGGUGUUUCAUACCAGGGGGAUGAUACUGGAUUUAUAGUAAAAGCUGGAAUCAGUGCUUGGCUUUGGCAUAUCAUAUAUUCAUUCACCUGAUACUCAGCAAGUCACUAACCC
rnacentral:lncRNA from 1 species